rnacentral:rRNA from 1 species
CCUACGGGUGGCAGCAGUGGGGAAUAUUGCACAAUGGGGGAAACCCUGAUGCAGCGACGCCGCGUGAGUGAAGAAGUAUUUCGGUAUGUAAAGCUCUAUCAGCAGGGAAGAAAUAGCGACCUUUGGGUCGCCAGCCGGUACCUGAUUAAGAAGCCCCGGCUACCUACGUGCCAGCAGCCGCGGUAAUACGGAGGAUGCGCGCGUUAUCCGGAUUUAUUGGGUUUAAAGGGUGCGUAGGCGGAAUGCCAAGUCAGCGGUAAAAUCGCGGGGCCCAACCUGGGUCCGCCGUUGAAACUGGCGUGCUUGAGUGGGCGAGAAGUAUGCGGAAUGCGUGGUGUAGCGGUGAAAUGCAUAGAUAUCACGCAGAACUCCGAUUGCGAAGGCAGCAUACCGGCGCCCAACUGACGCUGAAGCACGAAAGCGUGGGUAUCGAACAGGAUUAGAUACCCUGGUAGUC